rnacentral:sRNA from 1 species
GUAAUCCCUCAGUUUGUCCAGAUGAAGUAUGGCCUGACUGGCCCUUGGAUUAAAAGACUCUUACCUGUGAUCUUCCUCGUGCAAGCCAGUGGAAUGAAUGUCUACAUGUCCCGAAGUCUUGAAUCCAUUAAGGGGAUUGCGGUCAUGGACAAGGAAGGCAAUGUCCUGGGCCAUUCCAGAAUUGCUGGGACAAAGGCUGUUAGAGAAACGCUAGCAUCCAGAAUAGUGCUGUUUGGGACCUCAGCUCUGAUUCCUGAAGUCUUCACCUACUUUUUUAAAAGGACCCAGUAUUUCAGGAAAAACCCAGGGUCAUUGUGGAUUUUGAAACUGUCUUGUACUGUCCUGGCAAUGGGACUGAUGGUGCCAUUUUCUUUUAGUAUAUUUCCACAGAUUGGACAGAUACAGUACUGUAGUCUUGAAGAGAAAAUUCAGUCUCCAACAGAAGAAACAGAAAUCUUUUAUCACAGAGGGGUGUAGGCGUGAGUUUUAGGUGAAUUUAUGUGGUUCCUGCUUGAAAACCUUCCCCUCUCCAGGUUCGGUUUAGAGAACUUUGCCACAGGUCUUCUGGGGACCCCAGAGGUGUCUGUGCUGACAAGGCGACUUCAAAUUCCAUACUGAGAUCGUUCCCAGGCUGGCGUCUCUGGGGUUUUUAAGGCUGGCUGGAGAAGACAGUGGGAGGGUGCCCCGUCUGACACCCCUGGGGUUGCUGAGGGAACGGUUGGAGUGGGGAUCAGCCUGCGAAAGGAUACUGUGAAAUCACUAAUUAACUAAUAAACCUGUCUCAAGUUGAGGAUUUGAAGAAAGAACACAGAGUCCACCGUGCCCAGGACACAGGUGUGAAAUGGAUAGGCCGUCUCAAGCGGAACACGUACCCCUGGGGCGCUGUUGACGCCCUCCGACCCCAAAAGCAAUCUUGUUUCCUUACUCAGUGUCCUCCAUUCUAGACAGCUAC